UACGUAGGGAGCAAGCGUUGUCCGGAAUCAUUGGGCGUAAAGCGCGCGUAGGCGGCCCCGUAAGUCCGCUGUGAAAGUCAAAGGCUCAACCUUUGAAAGCCGGUGGAUACUGUGGGGCUAGAGUACGGAAGAGGCGAGUGGAAUUCCUGGUGUAGCGGUGGAAUGCGCAGAUAUCAGGAGGAACACCGGUGGCGAAGGCGGGUCUCUGGGCAGUAACUGACGCUGAGGAGCGAAAGCGUGGGGAGCGAACAGG
rnacentral:rRNA from 1 species